rnacentral:rRNA from 1 species
AUGGAAGAGAAAUAUCAUAAGAAGAUUCAAGAGACAAAGCAGGAGCCAUCCGUCGCCGGAUGCACAUCAUCCAAACUUUUUGCACUGCACAUAGAGAAGAACAAAGCUGCAAAGAUGACAGAACAGAGUUGCACACAGGAAAACUUCUUAGCCGUCCACAAAUCAUCCAUGUUUUUUCGAUUGUUGGCUGAACCUCAUGCCGGGGGGCGCCAGCUGAAAUGCAUUAGAAAGUUUGCUGCACUGAAUUCACCCCAAUCAACAGCAAAAACAUGGGGGUGGGGGGGGCAGCUUACUGCUCUUCCACCGGGAACUGCACGGCCGCGACGCACGAACUGCACGGCCUCGACGAGCAAACUGCACGACACAGCGAUCCAGCAAAACUCCGGCGGACCUACACCACCCAUGAAUCGAACUGCAUCGGGAGCCUCCACCGUCUUCAGGCCAGCUCGUCAGAGGGGAGGGGAGGCAGGAGAGCCGGCGCUGCUGCCACUGGUCGCUCUCGCCUGUAUCUAG